UACGGGGGGAGCAAGCGUUGUUCGGAUUUACUGGGCGUAAAGGGCGCGUAGGCGGUCAGCACAAGUCAGUUGUGAAAUCUCCGGGCUUAACUCGGAAAGGUCAACUGAUACUGUGCGACUAGAGUGCAGAAGGGGCAACUGGAAUUCUCGGUGUAGCGGUGAAAUGCGUAGAUAUCGAGAGGAACACCUGCGGCGAAGGCGGGUUGCUGGGCUGACACUGACGCUGAUGCGCGAAAGCCAGGGGAGCGAACGGGAUUAGACGUACC
rnacentral:rRNA from 1 species